AUCUCCUCUACCUUUUGCAAAUCUAGAUUUAUUUAUUUAUUUUUUUAUAAUCUAGUUUUCUUGAAGCAGAAGAUUUCUUAGGCCAUUUAAACCAACAUAAUGUCUGAAAGGAUAUAAUCUAUUUCAUGGUCUAUGUCUUUUAAAUAUGUAUAUUUGAUGGAGAAAUUGCUUCUUACAUUCAGGUGGGGAAUUCCAAUGUGACAUUUUUAUACGCUUUUAUCUGAAACUAAACUAUAUUUUGAAAAUAUUUUAAAAAUUAUUUCUAAAUGAAAUUAAUUUUCUUUCAAAAGCAGUUUAUUCUCCCUGCUUCGUCCAUUUUAUUAGCUCUGCCACUAGAUUUUUGCGACUUUCCAUACUAAUGACUCAGAUCUCUUACAUUGGCUAUUGAGAUUUGAAAAUAUACAAAGUAGAAUUAUAUUUCUUUAUGAAUCUAUUGGAGACUAACUCAUCCUAAAAUGUCCCUUUCUUCUCACAAAGAAAAUAAUUUUAUAUCCCAAAACAAGUAAUGACUUUCUGAACUUAUUCAGAUCAUUUACUGUGUUUUAAACAUGAUUCUCAUAGUUCUACUUAUUGGAAACUGUUUGACUAGUUGAUUUUGGAGGCUUGAUAUAAGCACUCUUGGAACAGUAAGUGGGUCACAUCAUUCUAAAAGUUGCCUAAUAAAAUGCAUGCCACUUGACCAUAAUUUGACUUGAUUUUAGAUCAGAGAGUUCAGGAGGGGACUGACCUUACUAUUCUCAGGUUAUGCCAAAUUUUAGUUAAAUCUUAAAAAGCAACAUUCAUUUGAAGAAUUUAGACAACUCUAUUAAAUGAUAGGGUAAUAUACACUAAAAUUGCUUUCAACCUAUAGCAACCUAUGGAAUAAUUCAAUGAAAAAGCUAUCAAAUCAGAAGCUAACAGUUUAUUACAAGAUAUAACAACAACAUAAAUUAAGGCUUAAUUAAAUAAAACACAUGACUAAGAAUUUGGUUUUUUUUUUUUUCUGUGACCCCAGUGAGUAAACUAAGUGGCCUUAACAUAAUUUUUUAAGUACCAGCAACUUCAAGUUUGAUAAGAUGUCAAAUGCUUUAGCCUGGAAUUUAUUAAGGAAAACACCUUGACUAGGAUGCAAGCCAUCACAGAUGAACCCAUACAGUCCAAAGAAGAAAAUCUGUUAUGAAUCUUCAGAAGAAGAAGAAAUUAAUAGAGGAUCAAGGUUAUCAUGCUUUAAGUGUUUUAUAAAUAGAUGGGUUCCAAAGUAAAAGGAGAAUGUCACAAAUUUGGUAACAAAAGUGACAUUGGUCUAGACACAAGAAGCUAAGGAAAUCAUGAAUGCAUCAGAAUCACUUUGGUGGCAAAUAACCUGAAAUCCAAUUUAGAAUGGCUUAUGAGCUGAAAGGGGAUCUAGCAUAUUGAUUCUCAUAAAUUUAGCAACUCAGCAGUAUUGUUAACGAUCUGAUAUCUUUCAACUUUGCCUGUGGGGACAAAAGUUUUAACCUCAGUCAGGGCUCUUUUAUGGCCACAGGAGGCCUGCAAAGAUUGAUAACGAUGGCCAAGUGCUUCCUUGAUAAUAUCUAAAGAGGGCAAGCAGGGAGAGAAGUUCCUGGUAGUUGUCUUAAAAACUAAUCACUUCAAUUGAAUCUGUUGAUCCAUCCCUGAAUUCAAUACUGUGGGAGGAAGAUGGAUUUUGCUAAAUGACUUGAACCAAUCAGGGUCCACCUCUGGUGUUGAAAGUAUAGUCAUAGACUCUACACAGUGAGAAAAGAAUGCAAGACUCAAUGGGAUAUAGGGAAUAUUUGGCAGAAGAAGAGAAGACAAUUUAGGGGAAUAUAAACAACAGGUAUCUACCAAGCACAGAAGAGAAGAAUGGGUCAGAGUGAAAAUUUUCCCCAACGUGUACCUGUAUUAAAGCCUCAGUCCCCACUUCACUUUGUUGUAUUUGCUUCUCUCCUGCAGAAUGGUUACAUAGUUCAGUUAAAAGAUGAUCUGAAGCCCAGGUGUGAGUUCAAAGCCAGGCUCCACUGCUUAUUAGCCACAUAAACUUGGGCAAAUUAUUUAAUUUCCCUGUGCUUCAGUUUCCUCAACUUAUAUUGUAUGUAAUGAUAGUAGCUACCUAUUAUCAUUAUUAUGCAGCUUUUAUGAGUUAAUCUGUAUAAAUUAUUUAGAACAAUGCUGACUGUAUAAUAAUUAUUAAAUCAAACCCAGUGACUGCUGUAGGAGGUAAGAUUUUAACAUAUAUAUGGUUGUGUAUAUAUGUAUGUAUAUAAUAUAGAUUACAGAAUGUAAGUUAAUACUGAAAGCAUCUCUCAAAAUUCUUGCAUUUUUUUCCUGAGCAUUUUUUUUUCAGUUUUUUUGUCUUUGUUUUAGUACCUCAGUCCAUCUAAUUUAUCUUAUGUUGAUAUAAGAUUACUUCUUAAUAUACAAUGUUCCCAAUCACCCAUCUUCCAUUUCCAGAAUUGCUUAGUAAUUAAAGUCUGUUGACCAGGUAUGACCAUAUACGUUAGCAUAACUGACCCCAUGUUGGGUGUGCUAAGUUCCUGCUGUCCUUCCACUGACCCUACCUAGGGUUGUACUGUGCAGUAAAUCUCCUCUCUGUCAUCAAGGGCUUUGUAGUUAAUAGAUAUUGUUUAAUGAGCGUUAGGUCCAGGUGGCCUGUAUGCUCUGUUAGUCCCCAAACAAUGAUGAAGACCUUCCCAGACGUAUUCCUGGGGUCCGUGAGACUAGUUACUCAUUCAUAAAUCUUGACUUAGGAAUGCACUUCCUGUUUCUAAGCACAUACCCACAUAAACUAGCUUAACCAUAAAAUUGUCCCAGUGGCUCCUCCAUGGUGAGGAGUGCAGCUGUGAGUGCUUCCAAAUUGUCCACCGGAUUCUACCCUGUAAGUUACCCCGUAAUAAACAGAUCUGUUGAUUAUAUGGAGCUGCCUGUCUCAUCUGCCAGCCUCAAGACUCCUUCUCAGUUCAGUGGGCACUUUUCAUUUCCUCUGUCCUCCAAAAUCAUCUAGUAUUCAAGAUCUUUUAUAAAGAAAACCUACAUCUUUAUAUGUUCAAGUUUGACUAAUUGCUUUCCCCAGAGUCACACAUUUUUUGGACUCCUGGUCAUUUUGCGUGUGUGUCUCUUUUCCCAUCGUUAUCCUUUUUCUAAGUCUACCUUCAAUAACACCUCCUCUGUAAAGAAUUUCCAUAUUUCUGACAACCAGAUGUGCCCUAGAAGUUAUCUUUAAUAGACUUUCAGUGACAGAACUAGCAUUUUCCAUUCUCUCUCAAACAUUCACCUAAUGCCUUUGUAGCACCCAAUGCCCAAGCCCAAGUUUGCAGAGCUGGUUUAUGUGUUUUGAGGAUUGAACCCGUGUCACAGCAGUGACAAUGCUGGAUCCUUAACCUCCAGUGCCACAGGAGAACUCCUUAAAUUACUUUUUAAUUGAUUAAAUUCACAUGUAAAAAUAAGGACUUUAUAUUUACAAAAAAUUUGUUGAGUUUUUUGAAAGUAAAUGAAAAUACUACUAUUGGAUUAAAUGUUGAGGAUGGAAUUUAAGAAACCAGGAAAACGAAAUAAAAUCUGGAGGUAUUCUGCACUCAGAUUGUUUCAUUAGCAUUUUAGAAAUGAUUGUGGAAUAGCAAUAAAAAUUAUAGUGACUAUUAUUUAUAUAAGAAAGAUCUUGUAAAACAGGAAUAGGACAGCUCUACUCAGAUAAAAGUCCUGCACUCUAUAUUAAAAUAUAAACAAAUUAGUUUUCCUUUUCCUGUUAAAAUUUGAAUUUAAGUGCCAUGUGAAUACAUAUUUUUCAAAUAAGUCCUUGCUUUAAAGAUAUCCACUUUCUGGAGUUCCCGUUGUGGCGCAGUGGUUAAUGAAUCCGACUAGGAACCAUGAGUUGUGGGUUCUAUCCCUGGCCUUGCUCAGUGGAUUAACGAUCCGGCGUUGCAGUGAGCUGUGGUGUAGGUUGCAGACGUGGCUCAGAUCCCGCAUUGCUGUGGCUGCGGCGUAGGCCAGUGGGCUAUAGCUCCGAUUGGACCCCUAGCCUGGGAACCUCCAUAUGCUGCAGGAAGCAGCCCAGAUAUCCACUUUCUGAGCUGGUAAUAUCAAAACAAAGUAUUUCUUCCUUAAAUAUAUUGAGAUUUCAUUGAAGAGAAAUACAAACACAAUUACAAAACAUUAAAUGCUAAUGAUGAUUUUCAUAAACUAGUAUUGCUCUGUGAGUAUCAAUCUCUCCUCCAAAAUGCAAUUUUCUUACAGGGCAACAUUGUUUUUACUUCAUAUUCUACCAAAAAAAGGUUGCUGAAUGGAUGAACUGAACUCAAUUUGAGAUAAGUUAACUAAGUUGAGAAGAGUUUAUAACAUCUAAAGAGCUGCAC
rnacentral:lncRNA from 1 species